rnacentral:rRNA from 1 species
AGAGUUUGAUCCUGGCUCAGGAUGAACGCUAGCGGCAGGCUUAAUACAUGCAAGUCGAACGGGAUUCGGGGUAGCAAUACUUUGAUGAGAGUGGCGCACGGGUGCGUAACGCGUGUGCAACCUACCUUUAACAGGGGAAUAGCCCCGAGAAAUCGGGAUUAAUACUCCGUAACAUUGCGGUGUGGCAUCACACUGCACUUAAAGCUGAGGCGGUUAAAGAUGGGCAUGCGUGACAUUAGCUAGUUGGUGAGGUAACGGCUCACCAAGGCAACGAUGUCUAGGGGUCCUGAGAGGGUUAUCCCCCACACUGGUACUGAGACACGGACCAGACUCCUACGGGAGGCAGCAGUAAGGAAUAUUGGUCAAUGGGCGCAAGCCUGAACCAGCCAUGCCGCGUGCAGGAAGACGGCCCUAUGGGUUGUAAACUGCUUUUGUCAGGGAAUAAACCCCCGCUCGUGAGCGGGGCUGAAGGUACCUGAAGAAUAAGCAUCGGCUAACUCCGUGCCAGCAGCCGCGGUAAUACGGAGGAUGCAAGCGUUAUCCGGAUUCAUUGGGUUUAAAGGGUGCGCAGGCGGAUUGGUAAGUCAGGGGUGAAAUCCCACAGCUCAACUGUGGAACUGCCUUUGAUACUGUCAGUCUAGAGUAUAGUUGAAGUUGGCGGAAUGUGUCAUGUAGCGGUGAAAUGCUUAGAUAUGACACAGAACACCGAUCGCGAAGGCAGCUAGCUAAGCUAUAACUGACGCUCAUGCACGAAAGCGUGGGGAUCAAACAGGAUUAGAUACCCUGGUAGUCCACGCUGUAAACGAUGAUUACUCGAUGUUGGCGAUACACAGUCAGCGUCUGAGCGAAAGCAAUAAGUAAUCCACCUGGGGAGUACGAUCGCAAGAUUGAA